CAGCUCGCAGCUCGCUGCCGCUUCUCCCCUCCAGCUUUUGCAGAGCUCUUGGCGCGGUGCCCGGCAGCCCUUCACUGCUGCCUUUUCAUUCCCCUUAAUUCACUGCCUUUCCUUGCAAGGAACAGAGGGAGAGCUUGUUCCAGCAGACGGGCCCCAUCCGCUCCUCCCGUCCGAGGGCUGGGAAGAAGGGAUGGAGGCGAAGGGAACUCUCCCACCCCUCCGGGGCCCCGCGGGCGCGCUGCUUCCCAGAAAAUACGGUAAAAAGCCUUCAGCCUAAAAAUAACUGCAGCCCGUGGCUGCCCAAGGCUGAGGAACCAGCCCCUCGGGGCUCACUUAGAGAUGUCAACGUGUGGCCAUUGGCCGGUCUCUCUGAUGGGCAGAAGUCAUCUGGCGAGGUGCUGAUCCUCCUAUAGUGUUUGCAAGAUCUUUAAGAAGAAUUGCAUGGCCGAUGUCGUUGCGUUUGAGUUGUGCUAGAAUACCCUGACCAUCAGAGGACUUGGAUUUUAUGACAGAAGAGAUCAGCACUGCAAAGACAUGGCGAUGUUGUUCACAUUGCCUGGACCUGAGCCCAGGGUCCGGGACCAGACCUGUCUCAUACCCACACCUUAGAAGACAGCGCCGUGUUCGUGUUUUCUUUUUGCAGGCUGAAAGCUUUCCUGGACCUGCUGAACACUUCUGCUGUAAUCUGUCGUGGCUGUCAGGGUGCCAAGAGACAUGCCAGACCCUGGGCCACAAUAGUGGAACAGACAUGCCCAGAGCUGAAAGCUGGCACAAGGUAGUGUAUAAAGUGAGAUAUGUGAAGCCACGGGCAAAUAGUUUGGUAAUCACGUGGGUCAGUUAGGCUUGGCACAGGGCAGAGCCUGUCUGCUCAUCAAGGAAGGCAGAGACAAAACUUCGUCAUAGAAUCAUAGAAUAUUUGAAUUAUUGAAUCAUUGAAUGGCUUGGGUUAGAAGGGACCUUACAGCCCACCCAGCUCCAACCCCAGUGCCAUGGGCACAGUUGCCACUCACUGCAUCAGGUUGCCCAGUGCCCCACACAACCUGGUCUUGAGAAGAGUUGGGGGACUUCUUAAUGAGAGCUACGAGGAUUAAACAAAAACAAUUACUCCAGAAGGACUGAGGUAAAGGACACAGUGUUGUCUCAGUGGGGUCGCAAACACAUUUCAAAACAGAUUUUUGCAGAAAGAGAUGUUUCCCAUUCCCCAGAUAUCUUGUUCCCAACAACGAUUCUCGUUUCACAGUAAGGUUCAGGGUUGGAGGAAGGAGCAUGAGCCUUGCUCAGCAUUGGUGCAGGGGAUGCUCCACGUGUCUCCUCACCUAGAAAGCUAAACCUCAAAGAAUAGAAGAGCACAAUUCACUCCUCGCAGAUGGGGAAAUGGUGCAGUGAGUCAGCAAGGCAGACCACAGAUGCUGUCCAAAAGCAUUGCAGCAAUUAGUUGGAGCAAGGUGGAGAUAUAUUCCUCCAAAAUGAAAGUCUCUGUAGGCUGUUACCAGUGCUCACAGCCAUCUAGUCCCUUGCUGAACAUUUCUGACCAAAAUCCUUCCAAGCUGAUCUAUUUUCAGCCCAACCCACUCGAUACCUUGAUUGCUACGCAGCUCUUUUAGCUGCUCUUAGGUAAACAUGUUGUCAUUCCCUGGCAUUUUGCCUCGCUAAGACCAAAAAUAUGAGUGGCACAGAAAAUAAGAAAAGCUGUUCUCCUCCGCCAGGAAAAAUGAUGCUAUUUCUGAAAUAAACUGUUUUUAAUACACCUCACCAGCCAUGUGCAUAUACACACAUGUAUAAAUAUACUUGACCCGGAGGUCCAGUUCCAGUGUUGGCAUCUUGUAUGCCUAUAUGGAGACAGAACAGAGAGGGAAUUAUGUAUGUACAAACCAGGACACACCUUCGGUCCAGUCUACAUCUGAAUGCAGAACGUUGGUUAAGACAAAAUACUGAGGUCUGAUCCCCAUUAAAACAGGUUCACAGGGACUGGUCCAAACUGAGACCAGAGAGUUAUGGGCUGUCAUGAGGAGCAGCUUCUACCAUAGCGACCCAUGUGCCCCAUACCUAAAACCAGCAUCCCCAGGGUUGAACCAGAGCAGGCUGGAGCAGAUCAGUGUCAGAGCUCUAUCCACAGCAGGCCUUGUUUUUGAGGAAUGACAGUGAUGUUGGCCAGACCUCCAAGCCUCUUUUUUUUUCAGAUUUCUCUUUAUCGAGUAAACACAUAGAAGUCAACAACAGAUGGAGCAUCACAUGGAGUUACGCAGGUCAGCAAAGGCUUCGGAGACCCCGUGAGUUUGAGGAGGCAAUAAAUUGGCAGGAGAUGUGGAUGGGAAAUUAUUCUGAGGGACGGAGGAAAAAAAUAGUGGGUUGAUCUGUCGCCCCUGUGACAUGCUCAGGUUUUGUGGAGGAAGACAAAGGUGGGCAGAUAACAAAAGCUCCUGGGUAGGAAGGCUUUUGGGUUCCUCUUUGGCUGCAAAUUGUGAAAUUCAAGCAGAAAGGUAACAAACUGGUAACAAAACGGGCAGGAGUAAAGCAAAGCGAGUGCAAAACAAAAGCAGAUUUUGUGUGACAGGAGCAGAUUGAACUGAUGUGACAAAGGAGGAGGAGAGCUUUUUCAGUAGCUUGUAUAGUGCUGCGGGGAGCUGGGAGUGACAAAUGAGGAAUUUGCACAAGUGGAGAGCAACAGCGUAGGGCUGUGUGUUGAGGAAGAAAGAAAGGAGAAAAGGGAGCAAAGGACACCUAUUAAUAAAAAGAAACCUACAUUCCAUUUAAGAUUUAUUGCUAGCUCAGAGCCAGAGAAUCUUUCAUGCCUUCGCAUCUCUGAGCUAACAUUACCCAAGAGUGGGUAGUGGUGGGGAUCCACUAUGAGCCAUUGAAUUCAAGUGGAAAAGAGCUCCGGUCUUUAAUAUGCAGAAAUUAAAACACUUUGGCUGACAGAGCUUUCAAUCUGAGAAACCUGCACUGUAGUAGCAGAAUAGCAUUAGUGCUCCUGAAUACACAGCUGGUAAUUUCCGAGCACGAAAUAUCAUGCAUUGAAAAUGAAAUUGCUCCAUUUAGGAGAUCGGUGUGGUGGGGAUGGAUGAAUUCAGUGCUGGAUGAAAAAUUAAUGGUUGCCUUCAGACAGGUGUUGACUAGCUGGUGGUGUUCCAAGAAAGGACGGUCCCAUCUGGUCAUGGGGAGAGCUGUGAUGGUGCGAAAAGAAGAGAGUGAUCACCAUGGACAAAGAGCAUCCCACGAACUCAUGUCAGAGAAGAGUUUUUGUCUUGGAGGUGGAGGGCUCAGUCGGUGGGAGAAGUAGGGCUACUUCUACGUGGGGUGUGGAUGGAGAAGUUUGAGGUAAAAUGAGGCUGGAUGGUUGGAGAAACACCAGCUAACAUUGGGUGUGGACUUGAUUACAGCAUAGAAUUGCCUCUGAGGGGAGGGGGUGAGGGGCUGCCUCACGUAGGGGAGAAAUAUAUGAUAGCAGUGGGUUGGAAAGCUGAGAUUUGGGCAAAUUUGAAUGAAAAAAAGAAGCACCUUUUAGCUGACAGAUGAUUAGGAUGCACUUGAAGGACAGCAGCGUGUCUUCCCCCACACCAAACCCUGUGUGCCACCUUGGCAGUCCACGGAGGCACCUUGAGCUGACCUAUCCGGUCCGUUCUGCUGGAGGAGGGGACAAGCAGGCCCCAGCUUCCAUCAGCUGCUCUGGGUUUGCAGUUAGGGUAGAUAAAUCCUUAUACUUACAAAGCAAGGCUGCCCGCGUGCCAAGUUGAGCACUGAAUCAGAAGAUGAGCUCCCUGGGGGGGUAAUCGGUAUCUUUCAUAAACUGCAAUUGGUCAGAGGAGAUGGGGAUUUUCCUGGCUCCAGCCCACGCACCCCUGCCCAUGCUGUGUGAGACGUGCAGGGCAAUUUACCUAUCGAUAGCUCACAGUGCUGGGCAAAUAUUUGUCUUAUCGUGGGUUUAGCAGUGAUAGCUAAAGGGCAGCGGCAAAACAAAGCCCAGGAAAGACCCAACUCUGAUCCAGUGCAGCUGGGAAAGCUGGAGGCUUUCCAGUCUGUGGGUGCUCAGCGUGUCCCUGCCCGGAAGGGGCUGCGGGGGGGAGCUGGGCUCAGCACUGCAGUGACAUUUGGAGAGAGCAGGAGGUCACAGAGCUGGAAGCAAACACAGGCAGUGACUGUCCUGCAGUGCACAGCCAGAGAGCUGCCUCUGCAGAGAGAAAACACAGGCAAGCACGCCUGAAACCUGUGCUUUGCUUCACUGCGCUUUCCUCCCAUAAAAAGUCUUUUAAAAAGUAUGAGUAAAUCUUUUUCCUAAAUCCUGUUCUCUUCCCUUCCCCUUCUCGUUCCCCUUCUCCCCCCUUCUCGUUCCCCUUCCCUUCCCUUCCCUUCCCUUCCCUUCCCUUCCCUUCCCUUCCCUUCCCUUCCCUUCCCUUCCCUUCCCUUCCCUUCCCUUCCCUUCCCUUCCCUUCCCUUCCCUUCCCUUCCCUUCCCUUCCCUUCCCUUCCCUUCCCUUCCCUUCCCUUCCCUUCCCUUCCCUUCCCUUCCCUUCCCCUUCCCCUUCCCUAUGAAGAAACGGAAGGAGAACCCAUGGAGACAAUGUGAGACAUCCCCAGAAUGAAUCCAGAUGUGCUGCUCUGUCUGUAACCCAGUGCUGUAAGGAGGACUGAGAUCUGCUGCACUGCAAGCCUGGAUAAAGAUACCCACCAUGGAUCUUCUCCCUGGACUCCUGACCCCAACUGCUCACCUUCCUCCUUCUGCCCUGGGCUAACUUCUCCUCGACUUCUGCUUUGGUUGAAAAGAGGCUGGGGUAAAAAAAGGGGGAAGGGGAGCCUGAAGGUGCAGUGAAAUUUGGUUUUUCAGCUUUAUUGCAUAAGGAAGCCCUGACAGCUUUUAACACCAUUGUCACUUGCAGGAAGAAAAGUUGUUGGCAGUUUGUGGGGGUCUCCUUUGGCUUUAGAUGGAGCAGAAGAAUGCACUAUCACUUCUGCUAUAGGCUGUGCUUAGCAGUGGAGCAAGGCAUUGCCCUAGCACCAGCAGCGCUCUGAAUUCAUCUCCACACUCCAUGUUUUCCUUCACUAAGUCUAAUGAGGGCUGCAGGCUGCUAGGGAGGCACGCAGCAAUAAAGACUGAAAACAGUACGCAGGACUUCCAGCUGCAAACUGUGUGUGACCCAGGACCUGACUUGACUUGGCUUGUGUGGGGAUCCUCUUCCCAAUAUCUGAUUCACCCUCAUACUGUAUGUAGCAUCAUGGUUUUUGUCAGCAUUCCAUAUCAUAGCAUCAUGUCAUACGUUCUCAGUACUGGGGCUGCUGGGGUUGUAAUUCCUGGUUUCCUUAUGGUGUGAUGUUAUGAUAUGGAAUAUCGAUGGACAGUACCCUGGACGUGCUCCAUAGGCAUAGGGGGACCCAGGGUGAAAGCCCACCCAAGGACCGCAGACAAGGGCACCCAUAAUAACUAGAGGGUAGCUGGAGAAGCAGCACCAUUGGGUGUAUCAGCUGUGUGUAACCUCCAGCAGCAUCAUACAAGAAAUGUUUGGCCUGACCCAAAGCCCACUGGAGAAAAUAAGGAGAAGCAUCACUUCCAGGAACAGCAUGGAUGUGGUGCAAUCAGGGAGAAAGGCAAGAAAAGCUGUGCAAGCAUUUGCCUAACGUUCUUCUGGGAGAUAAUAAUUGCCAAACAGCACUUGUUCCCUCCCUUUAUCCCACUCUGUCCUUCAGGGACAUCUGUUCCAAAGGGAAGAACCUGAUAAUUAUGGAUUGGGUCCUCCGAUGGAGGCUGGAUAUGGCCCCAAGGCAGCCAGCCUCCCUGUGCACAGUGCUCAUGCUGGGAAUGCAGCCUGUGAGUGGUUCAAUUAAAAGGUUUCUCAGCAAUGACACCAGCAGAGGCACAAGAAGCAGACAACCUAUUCACAGACCAAUUAGUUUUAUGAAUAAAUGUGUGCAGGACAGUGAGCCCAUCGGCUGAGCGAGCCAUGCCGGAGUGCUGAGCAGCACUGGGAAAUAUUCUAUUGGGAAGUUUUAAAUGCCAGUCUCCGUGCAUGGAUGGGGCUGCGUGGCUUUCCAUCAGCUCAAGCUUGCCCCUGCUGAUCCUUCAAUUCACGCUGUCUUCUCCCCAUAUAUGCCAUUCUCAUGGGCUUGGUGGGGGCAAACGCUUCGCAUGCAUGUUUUACCCAGCUCCAUCAUGUCAUCCUUCCCUUCGUGGCCAGAAUGGGCCAUGAACUCCCAUUUCUUCCCAUCAGACUGGGUUGCCUUGCAAAGGGCCCAGCCCCUCUCACCCUAUUUGAGGACCUGGGGGUUCACUGGGGCCAGCACCACUGGGCUCCAGCCUCCUGCAGCCCCAACAUAGGCCAGGUGGGUGUCAGAGCAGCUCCAAUCCCAGUAGGCGUUUAGUGUCAUUUAUACCAAGGCUAAUUACAUCUUAACAUUUUCCCUCUGUAUUUUGGUAUUUAUUUUGGAAAAGCUCCUCCCUGGAGUCACUUUCUUCCCCAGCUCUACAACAACAACAAUAACAGCAGUGCACUGCCUUUUCCCUUGGCUCCUUCCCUCAUUAUUAUAGCUCUGCCAUGCUGUUCCAGUACAGUCAGCAGAGGAAUUCAAUCAGGCUGAUGAGUAAAAGUGCAUAAUUUUAUGGCUGCAUAUCAACUGCUUGUUAUUAAACUAAUCAAUCAGCUUCAGUGCAGCUACCGGUAAAGCACGGGAGAGGGCAAAGUGAAAGAAUUGCUAUGCUGUUCUUUUUCCAAAAGGACAAAAAGACAAUUCCAAUCUGGCCAGUCGAAUUCUUCGGCUUGUACUUCUCUGCUGUAAGAAAUGCUUUGCCUGAGUUAUGGAUCGGUUGACCUGCAGCACAGUAAUGAUGGAGCUGGUGCUGCCCUUGUGCUCACCUCCAGCACUAAGCCCUAACAUGGCAACCUGCUGCAGGGAACCAGCUUUAGUAGGAGGUUGGCAUAGAUCAUCUCCAGAGGUCCCAUCCAACCUCUACAAUACUGUGAUUCUGUGAUUUGCCAUGCCCCAAAGCCCAGGAAAGUCACCAGGUACUCCCACCAUAUCUCAUCUUCUCAGGAAGAGUGGUAAUGCAUUGGAACAGGCUUUGGGGAAGUGGUGGAGUCAUCAUUCCUGAAGGUUUUCAAGGAACAUGGAGAUGUGGCACUGAGGGACAUAGUUAGUGGGCAUGAUGGGGAAGGGUUGGGAUUGGACUUGAUGAUUUUAGAGGCCUUCUCCAGCCUUCAUGAUUCUAUGAUUCUGAAGGUCUGUCCUCCAUGCCCACAAGAGCACAGCAAGUAAGGAAUUGCAUCACACAAAGAGAAACCUGGGCUACACAUCAGGUGUAACUUCCUACAGGAGAAGGGUGAGCAGCCAUUGGGACACACUGCCAGGAGGCACUGGAGGUCCUGGAACAAGCACUAUGUGCUUCUUCUAUAGCAACAUUGGGGUUGGUGUUGGUGAGGUUCUGCUUGUGGCUAGAGAUAGUUAUGAUGGAGUUGGAGGUCCCUCACAGCUCUAGGGGAGAGAGAGACUCAUCCUCUUUGCCAUCCAAGAGGAGGAGAAGGUGUAACAGGGCUUGGAACCUCAAAGCCAGACAGUGGGAUCUUUUGUGUUAAUGGACGUGGGCA
ensembl:lncRNA